rnacentral:rRNA from 1 species
GACGAACGCUGGCGGCGUGCUUAACACAUGCAAGUCGAACGCUGAAGCUCAGCUUUUGUUGGGUGGAUGAGUGGCGAACGGGUGAGUAACACGUGAGUAACCUGCCUCCUUCUUUGGGAUAACGCCCGGAAACGGGUGCUAAUACUGGAUAUUCACUGGUCUUCGCAUGGGGGUUGGUGGAAAGGGUUUUUCUGGUGGGGGAUGGGCUCGCGGCCUGUCAGCUUGUUGGUGGGGUGAUGGCCUACCAAGGCUUUGACGGGUAGCCGGCCUGAGAGGGUGACCGGUCACAUUGGGACUGAGAUACGGCCCGGACUCCUACGGGAGGCAGCAGUGGGGAAUAUUGCACAAUGGGCGCAAGCCUGAUGCAGCGACGCCGCGUGAGGGAUGGAGGCCUUCGGGUUGUGAACCUCUUUCGCUCAUGGUCAAGCCGCAACAAUGGUUGUGGUGAGGGUAGUGGGUAAAGAAGCGCCGGCUAACUACGUG